rnacentral:rRNA from 1 species
ACGACUCCGACUUCAUGGCGUCGAGUUGCAGACCCCAAUCCGAACUGAGACCGGCUUUUUGGGAUUCGCUCCACCUCACGGUAUCGCAACCCAUUGUACCGGCCAUUGUAGCAUGCGUGAAGCCCAAGACAUAAGGGGCAUGAUGAUUUGACGUCAUCCCCNCCUUCCUCCGAGUUGACCCCGGCAGUCUCCUAUGAGUCCCCGGCAUAACCCGCUGGCAACAUAGGACAAGGGUUGCGCUCGUUGCGGGACUUAACCCAACAUCUCACGACACGAGCUGACGACAACCAUGCACCACCUGUACACCAGCCGUAAGGCACGCACAUCUCUGCACGCUUCCGGUGUAUGUCAAGCCUUGGUAAGGUUCUUCGCGUUGCAUCGAAUUAAUCCGCAUGCUCCGCCGCUUGUGCGGGCCCCCGUCAAUUCCUUUGAGUUUUAGCCUUGCGGCCGUACUCCCCAGGCGGGGCACUUAAUGCGUUAGCUGCGGCGCGGAAUCCGUGGAAUGGACCCC